AUUGAACGCUGGCGGCAUGCCUUACACAUGCAAGUCGAACGGCAGCGGGGGAGAAGCUUGCUUUUCCUGCCGGCGAGUGGCGAACGGGUGAGUAAUACAUCGGAACGUGCCCUGUAGUGGGGGAUAACUAGUCGAAAGAUUAGCUAAUACCGCAUACGACCUGAGGGUGAAAGUGGGGGACCGCAAGGCCUCAUGCUAUAGGAGCGGCCGAUGUCUGAUUAGCUAGUUGGUGGGGUAAAGGCCUACCAAGGCGACGAUCAGUAGCUGGUCUGGGAGGACGAUCAGCAACACUGGGACUGAGACACGGCCCAGACUCCUACGGGAGGCAGAGGUGGGGAAUUUUGGACAAUGGGCGAAAGCCUGAUCCAGCAAUGCCGCGUGUGUGAAGAAGGCCUUCGGGUUGUAAAGCACUUUUGUCCGGAAAGAAAUGGCUCUGGUUAAUACCUGGGGUCGAUGACGGUACCGGAAGAAUAAGGACCGGCUAACUACGUGCCAGCAGCCGCCGUAA
rnacentral:rRNA from 1 species